GACGAACGCUGGCGGCGUGCUUAACACAUGCAAGUCGAACGGAAAGGCCCUGCUUUUGUGGGGUGCUCGAGUGGCGAACGGGUGAGUAACACGUGAGUAACCUGCCCUUGACUUUGGGAUAACUUCAGGAAACUGGGGCUAAUACCGGAUAGGAGCUCCUGCUGCAUGGUGGGGGUUGGAAAGUUUCGGCGGUUGGGGAUGGACUCGCGGCUUAUCAGCUUGUUGGUGGGGUAGUGGCUUACCAAGGCUUUGACGGGUAGCCGGCCUGAGAGGGUGACCGGCCACAUUGGGACUGAGAUACGGCCCAGACUCCUACGGGAGGCAGCAGUUGGGAAUAUUGCACAAUGGGCGGAAGCCUGAUGCAGCAACGCCGCGUGCGGGAUGACGGCCUUCGGGUUGUAAACCGCUUUCGCCUGUGACGAAGCGUGAGGGACGGUAAUGGGUAAAGAAGCACCGGCUAACUACGG
rnacentral:rRNA from 1 species